GAGAGAUCUUUCAUCUAUAGUUCAUUCCCCAGAUGACCUCAGUUGCUAGGGCUGGGCCAGGCUGAAGCUAGGAGCUUUUUCCAGGUUUCCCAUGUGGGUGGCAGGGAUACAAAUACUUGCACCAUCCUCUGCUGCUUUUCCCAGGCUUUAGCAGGGAGCUAGAUUGGAAGUGGAACAUCUGGGACUCAAACCUGGGACCAUAUGGGAUGCUGGCGUUGCAGGCAGUGGCUUAACCCUGCUGUGCCACAGCACCAGCUCCACUUGAUAGUAUUUUGUUAUUAGAUUUUUGUGAUUAUGGUCAUAAGAGCCAUAACCUUAACCUCAGUGUCAUACUUCCUCCAGAGUAAUUUUUUCUUUAACACUUUGUUAUAGGCACAUUCCCUUUUAUUUGUGCCCAUUGGUGUAAGUUUGUGUUUCUGUAAACCAGUUAAUUGGCUUUCUACUUCAGUUUUGACAUCUCCAUCUAGUGGUCUGUUCUGGAAGCAGAGGUGAAACUUUGUGGUAAUGGUUGGUGUGUAUUUCCACUUAGUCCACAAGGUGGCAACAGGCCCUAACUGAAGAGCAAAGAAUGAAGAAUGAGGAGUGAGGACUUAGAUUGAAAAAAAAAAGGGGGGGGGGGGGAAUCAGUGCUUACAGAACUCAUAAGAAAACAGAAUAGGAAAGCAAGAUUUUCUGAAAAGUAAUACCACUGGGCUUCAAAAUCUGAGAGAAGGGAGUUAGACCAUUACAUCAUUCUAAAAGCAUAAACUCAGAAAUACAUGAGAAUCCAUUUUGCUGUCCUCCCCCCCCUUCCCUCUCAAAAUGUCAAAAUCUUGGCUUAUUCAGUGGAUAUCCACUUUUCUUUGAAUAUUGGGGGAAUAAGGUGAUGAAGAUGGAAGUGUAAGGUAACAGAGCAGACCCUUAAUGUAAUGGUAUCUGAAUUUUGGGGAGCCUGGGACAAGAUAGAUAAGCUCUUCUAUCUAAACGUUGAGACCUGCUUCCUGGGAGACAGCAGGAAGAAGCCCUGUGCUGUCUCUUGGUUCUGAGACUCAAUUCCUCUGGAGUCCAGUUGUGAAUUUUUUAGUCUCAGUUGUGGAAUUUUCUUAUAAAAAUGGAAAUGGGAGAAUGGAUUUUCCUGGACAAAGAAUUGUUUAAGAUAGCAGUGAAGGAACAAGUCAGCUGAGGUGAGGUGAGAUUCCAGCAACCUGUGGAUAAAAUGUAUGGGGUUGUAAAAAUUAGAAGAAAGGCUUGUGGUGAGUUUUUAAUGCUCCCUGAAGUAACUAAACAGAGAAAAGAUUUGGGUAAGAUGGUCCUGCUUUCCAGUUGAAGAUAAUUGAUGGGAAACGGAAUAUUUUGUAUAAAUGCAUUUGGAGUAAGGAUAGUAUAUAUGCUUUAGCCAUUGAAGUAUGGUUCAUAUUUAAAAUAUGGCACAUGUGUCAAAAAUUUCAAAUACAGUAUUGUUGGUGCAGUACCUGUUAUAUGCCAUAUGUAUCAAACUAAGUUGAAAGUGAUGUUGCUUAAUGAACUAUAACUGAAUAUUAUGAAGCGGGAAUAACAGCAAUUGAAAACCACCACAAUGCAUUAACAGUGGUAGUGGAUUUCUGAGAACGGAAAGAUUUCUAGUUGAUUUUGUGAGUACAUUUGCAGAACAAUCUUUGCAACUUUGCCACAUUCUGUGGCAGCCACACUUUGUAGAAUACUGAAGAGUCUUGGUAAUUUUAGUUUAUAAAUGCCAGGUUUUCUUAACAGUCAGUUGAAGGUAGACUUUACUCAUAGGUAGAAAUAAAUUGAACAUCAGUUGCUCAUAAAAUGAAUAACUAUUGGAUUAAUUCACUAGGAGAAUCUUUUUAAGUUUAUACCUUGACUAUUAAGGGGCUAAAAGGUGGAAGAAAGAGAAGAUAGAGGACUAGCUAUGGCUAGCUAGGAGGAGGCUUGGUGUAAUGGGACUUGGAUGCUAGAUGUGAAAUAGGGAGCGUUUCUCUUGUGACUUAAUGCAAAAUCUUAACCACUGUGUAUUUAUACGUGUGUGUGGGGAUGUCCGUGUGUAUGCACAGAUGUUUAUAAUAAUAGUUCUGAUACUGUUGAUAAGAUUACUGCCAAUUACAUGGUUAGUUCAGUUGACCAAAGUUAUUUGUUGUGUGAUCUAACAAAUGAUUCCAGGAAUUGUUUUCCUUGUGUUGACUGGAGUUGAUUUAUGUAACUGAAGAGGAAAUAAAGUCUUAUGGAAUUUUUAUGCUGGAGCUUUUGGUUUGUUGUCUGGAUCAUUUCGCAUGUCAGUCGUCUAGGAAUCUGUCAACACAGUUAAUAUGCAGUAAAAGUCAGGCUCUGAACACCAUGGUCCUUUUUUUUUUUCAAAGAGAUUUUUUAAAAAAAGAUUUAUUUAUUUGAAAGGCAGAGAUACAGAGAGAGAAGGAGAGAGAGAGAGGGAGGGAGGCGGGGAGGGAGACUGUUCACUAGUUUAAUUCCCAGAUGGCUGCAGUGACAUGGCCAGGAGCUCCAGGAUCUUCUUGCGGGGCUCCCACAUGAGUCCAGGGGCCCAAGGAUUAGGGACAUCUUCCUCUGCUUUCUCAGGCGCAUUCACAGGGAGCUGGAUCAGAAGUGGAGCAGCGGGGCCUUGAGCCAGUGCCUGUAUGGGAUGCUGGCACUGCAGGUGGAGGCUCAAUCUUUAUGCCACAGCAAUAGCCUCUAAACACCAUUUUCAUCAACAUGAUCUUAAUCAUGAGAUUGAGCCUCUCUCUCACUUCCUCCAUCUCUCCCUCUUCUUCCCUAUCCACCCCCCUGCCCCCAAUCAGUACAAUUACAAGGAGAGGUAUCCUCAAGAUAGUUUAUUGGGAAGUAUAUAAUUUUUCUUGGGGCCCAGAGGCAGAACUUGGAAUUAAAUUUUCUGAUGACCCAAAACCAAGGAGAUUCGUUUCUCAUUAUUCUCCGGUCAAAUGGAGGCUUUUUUCUCGUUUGCUUUUCUUUCUUGUGCUUUUUUUUAUAUUUUUUUAAGAUUUAUUUAUUUAUUUGAAAGAGUUACGCAGAGAGAGAGAGGUUGUCCAUCCGAUACUUCACUCGCCAAUUGGCCACAAUGGCCGGAGCUGCACUGAUCUGAAGUCAGGAGCUUCCUCUGGGUCUCCCAUGUGGGUGCAGGGGCCCAAGGACUUGGGCCAUCUUCAACUGCUUUCCCAGGCCAUAGCAGAGAGCUGGAUCAGAAGCGGAGCAGUUGAGACAUGGAUCAGUGCCCAUGUAGGAUGCUGGCACUGCAGGUGGUGGCUUUACCUGCUAUGCCACAGCACCCCCCCCACCCCCGUUUGUUUGUUUAUUUACUUAUUUGAAAGGCAGAGUUACAGAGAGAGAGAGAGAGACAGAGAGAGAUCUUCUGUCUACUGGUUCACUCUCCAAGUGACCACAACUAGGAUCUUCAUCCAGUUCUCCCAGGUGGGUGGGGGCUCAAGUACUUGGGCCACAUGCCACUACUUUCCCAGAUGCAUUAGCAGGGAGCUGGAAUGGAAGUGCAGCAGCUAGGGAUUGAACUGGUGCCCAUACUGGGUGCCAGUGUUGCAGGUGUCAGCCACACCACCAGCACUAUCAUCUGCUUUUCUGAUGCCUCUGGUUCAUAUUUGUUGUCUUUUUCAGACUGAUUAUUUGCGUUUAUAUGUUCAUGAUGGAAAAAGACUUCCCUACCCUCUCCUGGUUCUAAAUAUCCAAACCACUACAGACUUGAGUUUAAAUUUUAGAAAUUCAGGAAAGAGGAUAAGCCUAGAUUGGCUCAGGUGUCCGUUUGUCUUGUCAACAGCUAUGGUUCAUUGACUAUUCAGUAGAAGCCAUUGGGAUGUUGUUAGGUGAAUAUGAAUAGGGCAGGCAAACUGCUGACAUGAUUAGGUUCAGUCAGGAAACAGGCAGCAUGGAGGCUGUGGAAACUGACCAUGAAAUAUGGUAUUUGAGGGAUAAUCAACAGGCAGGGAAAUUCAGGGGCAUGGAUUGAUUAGGAAUUAUUUGCUGGGUCUGGAAUGGGAGAGGAUUGGGAUCUGGAAAAUCCAGAUUCUAGGUGAUGCUUGAAAUUUGACAAGUAUAGGAGAUAAUGCUUUCAAACUACCCAGUUAUUAGCUAACAGGUCUGAUAUUAACACCCAGAUUCAGAGCUGGUGCUUUGGCGAAACGGGUUAAAGCCUUGACCGGAAGCGCUGGCAUCCCAUAUGGGCCCUGGUUCUUGUCCCGGCUGCUCCUUUUCCAAUCCAGCUCUCUGCUAAUGUCCGGGAUAGCAGUAGAAGAUGCCCAAGUCCUUGGGCCCCUGCACCCACGUGGGAGACCCAGAAGAAGCUCCUGGCUCCUGGCUUCGGAUCAGCACAGCUCCAGCCAUUGUGACCAUCUGGGGAGUGAACCAGCAAAUGGAAGACCUCUCUCUUGCUCUCUACCUCUCUCUCUAACUCUGUCUUUCAAAUAAAUAAAAUCUUUAAAAAGGGGUCAGUGCUGUGGUGCCGCGGGUUAAUGCCCUGGCCUGAAGCGCCGACAUCCCAUAUGGGCGCCGGUUCUAGUCCCGGUUACUCCACUUCCAGGCCAGCUCUCUGCUAUGGCCUGGGAAAGCAGUAGAAGAUGGCCCAAGUCCUUGGGCCCCUGCACCCAUGUGAGAGACCUAGAAGAAGUUCCUGGCUUCAGAUUGGCGCAGCUCUGGCCGCUGCAGCCGUCUGGGGAGUGAACCAUCGGAUGGAGGAUAUCUCUCCCUUUCUUUCUCUCUGCCUCUCCUCUCUCUGUGUAACUCUUUCAAAUAAAUAAAUAAAUCUAAAAAAAAAAAAAAAAAAAAGACCCAGAUUCUUGGUCUUGGAAUAGGGGUGACCAGGUGAGCUAAGAGUAUAACUGGGACUCAUUACAGAUACUCAGGCAUGCUUAAGAGCUUAAUUUUAGUGACAAUGGCCAUCUGUAACACUUGGUGUACUAUUUUGCCUAGGACCUAUUUGAAUACUUACCUGGUGACAAGGUCUGAGGUUGUCUAUGUAUGCACAUAUGUAUACACACACACACACACACACACAUACACACAUGGAAGAUACUGGUGAGUGAUUCUAAGAUUUAAGGAUUUCAGGAAAUGUUAACUGAAAAUAAUUCUUUAAUAAUUCACAUUUUUGGAUUGUUGCUUUCUGGAGUUGAAAUCCCAGAGUGACUUUAUUCCUUUGCCUUCUCCCUAGAAAGUUUUCUCUCUCAAGUGUAUUUUGGGAUGAAUUGUAUUUGAACAGUUUAGAUGUGUAGUACUUGGGUCUAAUUCCAGGAAAAUGGUUUAAUUAGCUAUUUGACUUCACUGAGAUCAGAAUUUUUUUUUAAAGAUUUAUUUAUUUGAAAGAGUUACAAAGAAGGGGAGGCAGACUCAGGGAGAGAGAGGGAGAGGGAGGGAGGGAGGAAGGGAGAGAGAAAGACAGAUAUCUUCCAUCUGCUGGUUCAUUCCCCAAAUGGCAGCAACCGUCAGGGCUGGGCCAGGCCAAAGACAGGAGCUGCACUUGGGCCAUCUUCUGCUUUCCCAGGCACACCAACAGGGAGCUGGAUCAAAAGUGGAGAGGCUGGGACUUGAACUGGUGCCCGCCCAUAUGGGAUGCUGGCGUCAAAGACAGAGGCCUUAACUGCUAUGCCACUAGCUCAACCCCCAGGAUUUUUUGUAUUUUUAUUUUUUAGACACCAUAAUUUUGUCCCUUAUGAGGUUUGUUAGAAGCAUACCUGAAGAAAAAAAUUUUUUUUUUGGCAUUAGUGAAUGAGGUGAUCAAAAAAUCUUCUUUCCCAAAAGCAACUGUAAAAUUGGACAGAACUGUUAAAGACAACCAAAGGCUUACACACAUUGAACACAGUGAACUUGGGUGUAAGUUUGUGGUGUUGCUUGGGAUUGCUCCCAUUUCUCCUACCUUUGACACAGUGGUAGUUCAACUAAAAUGGGGAGACCAUGAAAACCAACAGGUUUACUUCUGCUUAAGGAGGAGUUUAGUGGAUUUGGAGUAUUGUCAGAAGUGAUGAUCUUGGUGGCAAAUGAAAUGGGGGUGGGGUGGGGUGGAGGCAACAAAUCUGCUAGCCUGAGGAUACAAUUCUGUUUUGGACAAACAGUGGCCUGACUAGCUUGGGCUUUUUCUUUAUUUCUUUCUUUAAACAGAUUUAUUUAUUUAUCUCUUUGUUUAUUUGAAAGACUGAGUGACAGAGGGAGGACACACGCACAAAGAGAUCUUUCUCGAAUGGCCAAGGCAAAGCCAAGAAAGUCAAGAAGUCCAUCCUGGUCUCCCCUAUGGGUGGCAGGUGCCCAAGCUCUUGAACCAUCAUCUGCUGCCUCCAGUAUGCAUUAGUAGGAACCUGGAUUGAAAGAAGAGUAGCUGGGACACUUAACUGGCAAUCUGAAACCAGUGUGAUGUGAGGCUCUGCACAUAUCCCUGACCAGUGCAAGGGAUGUGUGAGAAAGCAACCCAGAAGAGAGUAAAAACAGACUUGAAGUCCUGAAGUAUAUGCAGCUCAUUAUGACCACGGAUCCAUCAAUGGGGAGUGAAAGGCUUAAGGUUAGUUGAAUUCCACUUCUGACUAGUCUUUGAACAGUAAACUAUGCAAAGAGGUGACCUCUGGAAGUCAGGCUUCAAAAAAAAAAAAAAUGACGUGAGGGCUAGGAGGACCUUAUGUAUCGGAUCAGAAACCACAACACUACAGGGGAGGCAGACAUCACAAAUUUAGUCAGCAUUGUUAGCAAUUUCUACUGUUUUUGAUUGGAAAAAGAAUCCACCUUUUUUUUUUAAGAUUUAUUUUAUUGAUUUGAAAGAGUCACAGAGAGAGGUAGAGACAGAGAGGUCUUCCAUCUGCUGGUUCACUCCCCAAUUGGCCACAAUGGCCAGAGCUGUGCCAAUAUGAAGCUAGGAGCCAGGAGCUUUUCCGGGUCUCCCACGUGGGUGCAGGGGCCCAAGGACUUGGGCCAUGUUCUGUUGCUUUCCCAGGCCGUAGCAGAGAGCUAGAUCAGAAGAGGAGCAGCCGGGACUAGAACUGGUAACUAUAUGGGAUGCGGGCGUUUCAGGCCAGGGCGUUAACUUGCUGUGCCACAGCACCGGCUCCCCAGAAUCCACAAUUUCUUUUUCUUUUUUUUGACUAUUUUUUAAAAAACUUAUUUAAUAAACAUAAAUUUUGAAGAGAAUCCACAAUUUCUAACAGCACUUUAGUUUAAAUGUUCAGUGUUCAGGAAAAAAAUUAUAAGACAAAGUUUGAUCCAUACUGAGGGGAAAGAAAAUCAGUACAAACUGAGUGAGCCCAUUACUAUUCAAUAUAGUUCUGGACGUUUUAGCCAGAGACAUUAAGACAGAAACAAAAUCAAAGGGAUAUGAUUUUUUAAAGAAUUCAUUUAAUUGAGAGGCAGGGUUAUAGACAGAGGGAGAGACCGAGAUCUUCUAUUGGCUGGUUCACUCCACAAAUGGCUGCGAACAAUUGGGCUGGGCCAGGCUGGAGCCAGGAGCCAGGAGCUUCUUCCAGGUCUCCCACUUGAGUCCAGAGACCCAAGCACUUAGGCCAUCUUUUACUGCUUUCCCAGGCCAUUAGCAGGGAGCUGGAUCAGAAGUGGAGCAGCCGGAACUUGAACUGGUGCCCGCUUGGGAUGCCAGCCUUGGAGGCAGAGGCUUAACCUACACCACAGCACUGUCCCUAGGGAUGCAGAUUUGAAAGAAGGCAGGCAAAUUAUCCCUGUUUGCAGAUGACAUGAUCUUAUAAAUGGGGAAACCAAAAGAUUCCACUAAGAGACUAUUGGAGCUCAUAAAGUUUGGUAAAACUGCAGAGUAUAAAAUCAGCACAUACAAAAAUAGCCUUUGUAUACACAAAUAAUUCUAUGACUGAAAAAGUACUUGUAAAGUCACAUUCACAAUAGAUACAAAAAUAUUAAAUGCCUUGGAAUAAAUUUUACCAAGGAUAUGAAAGAUCUCUACAAUGAAAAUUAGAAAACAUGAGAUAGAAGAUAAUAUCAAAAAAUGGAAAAAAAUCUUCCAAGUUCAUGAAUUCGAAGAAUUAAUAUCUCAUCAACAUGUCCAUACUGCCCACAGCAGUUUACAGAUUCAGUGGGAUCCCAAUCAAAAUAACAAGGACAUUCUUCUCAGAUCUAGAAAAAAAAAAAAAAAAACCAAUACUAAUAUUCACAUGGAAACACAAGAGACCCCAAAUAUCAAAAGCAAUCUUAACCAAAACAGAGCUGAAGGCAUCACAAUACCAGCUUUCAAGACAUACUAUAGGGCAAUUAUAAUCAAAACAGCCUGGUACUGGCACAAAAAUAGACAUGUAGACCAAUGGAACAGAAUAGAAACCCUAGAAAACUUAAAAUUAUGUGUUGAUUUAGGAGGCAGAGUUACAGGCAGGGAGAGACAGAGAAAGGUCUUUCAUCUGCUGGUUCACUCCCCAAAUGGCUGCAAUAACUGGAGCUGAGCCAAUCAGGAGCCAGGAGCUUUUUCUCAGUCUCUCACGUGGGUACAGGGACCCAAGCACUUGGGCCAUCUUCUGCUGCCUUCUCAGGCUGUUAAGUAGAGAGUGGAUUAGAAGAGGAGCAGCUGGGACAUGAGUCUGCACCAAUAUGGGAUGCUGACACCUCAGGCGGUGCCCUACCUUACACCUUAUACAAAUAUCAAUUCAGAAUGGAUCAAGGAUCUAAAUGUAUGACCUGAUACCAUCAAAUUACUAGAAGAAAACAUUGGGGAAACUCUUCAAGACAUUGGCAUGGUAAAGACUUUUUGGAAAAGACCCUGGAAGCACAGACAAUAAAAGCAAAACUAGACAAAUGGGGUUACAUCAAGCUAAGACACUUCUGUACUGCAAAGGAAACUCAACAAAGUGAAGAGGCAACUGACAGAAUGGGAGAAAAUAUUUGCAAACUAUGCAACUGUUAAAGGAUUAAUAUCCAGGAUGUAUAAGGGGCUGAAGAAACUCAACAACAACACAAUAAGCAAUCCAGUUAAGAAAUGGGCAAAGGACAUGAACAGGCAUUUUGCAAAGGAUGAAAUACAAAUGAUUGACAAGCAAAUGAAAAAAUGCUCAAGAUCAGUAGCCAUCAGGGAAUUGCAAAUACUGAGGUUUUUAUCUCACCCCAGUUAGAAUGAUCAUCAUCCAAAAAUCAAAAAAUAAUAAAUGCUGGUGAGGAUGUAAGGAAAAAGUUACUCAAAUACACACUGUUGGUUAGAAUGUAAACUAAUAUAACCAUUAUGUAAGACAGGUGGAGAUUUCUCAGAAAUCUGAAAAGAAACCUACCAUAUGACACAGCCAUCCUGUUUCUGGGAAUUUACCCAAAUCAGCAUAUGAAAGAGUUAUUUGUACCCCCAUGUUGAUUAUAACUCAAUUCACAAUAGUUGAGAUAAGCAAUCAAGCCAGAUGUCCAUCAACCAAUGACCAGAUAAAGAACAUGGUGUGUAUGUGUGUGUGUGUGUGUAUAUACAUACAUACAUACAUACAUACUAUGAAGUACUACUCAGCCGUAAAAUGAGAUCAUAUCUUUCACAACAAAAUGGAUGCAAUUGGAAACCAUUCUGCUUAGUGAAAUAAGCCAGUCCCCAAAAGACGAAUAUUAUAUACUUUAUCUGAUAUAAAAUACAAAAAGUGAAAAGAAAUAAAACAGACAUCUUGUGAUUUGCUUGUUUUUAGCCCUUGUUUAUACACCUGUUGAACUACCUUUUACUUGUUGAAUAUUAUGGUUAGUGGUACAUUAAGCUUGUGAUUACAGAGUGACUUGAAAUUAUGUUUUUGCAAAAAAAAAAAAGGAUUGAGGGAGGGGAAAAUGUUAUAUUCUUAGAAUUGUACCUAUGAAAAUAUGUUCUCUUUAUAAACAUUUUUUUUUCAAAGUUAAAUAAACUGAGUGAGCCCCAGAUACUGGAUCUGACGCACAGACUUCAAAGCAACCAUUAUAGAUACUUAAGAGAAAUAAAGAGAAUCAUAUUUAGAGAAUUAAAAGGAAAUAUGCUGACAACGAUUUAAAACAAAGAGUUCUCCAUUAAAAAAUUACGAGAAAACUAAAGCCAUGGAAUUGAAAAGUAUAAUUGAAAUAAAAACUAGGAGGGACUCAAUAGCAGAUUUGAGAUGGCAAAAAAAAGAAUAUUCUGGGCCAUAAAAUAAACUUCAGUUAUUUAUUUAUUUAUUUAUUUAUUUAUUUAUUUUUUGACAGGCAGAGUGGACAGUGAGAGAGAGAGACAGAGAGAAAGGUCUUCCUUUUGCCGUUGGUUCACCCUCCAAUGGCCGCCACGGCUGGUGCGCUGCGGCUGGCACACCGCGCUGAUCCGAAGGCAGAAGCCAGGUGCUUCUCCUGGUCUCCCAUGGGGUGCCAGGCCCAAACACUUGGGCCAUCCUCCACUGCCUUCCCGGGCCACAGCAGAGAGCUGGCCUGGAAGAGGGGCAACCGGGAAAGAAUCCGGUGCCCCGAAAGGGACUAGAACCCAGUGUGCCAGUGCCGCUUGGUGGAGGAUUAGCCUAUUGAGCCGCGGCACCGGCCCUAGUUAUUUUCAAAGAUUGAAAAUCCUACAAGAUGUGUUCUUUGACCACAUGAACUUAAUUUAGAGAUCUAGAACAGGAUAAAAUCCGUAGUCUGCUCAAAUACUUGAAAUUAAAGAAUACAAAUGAUUUACAGAUGAAAGAAGACAUUCUACAGCAAAAUUUAACACUUUUAAUUGAAUGAAAGUGCAAAUCCAACAUAUCAAAAUGUAUUAAUGUAGCUAAAAUAGUACUUGGAGGAAGACUUAGUUUUUGCAGUGCCUGUACAUUAGAAAAGUAGAAGUGUCCCAAGCAGUAACCCACACUUCCAUCAUAAGAAACUAGGUAAAGACCAAAUUAAACUAAAAGCAAGCAAAAAGAAUGAAAUACUUUAUGAAGAUUAGAAUGGAAAAUGGAAAAACAGAAUAAAUCAAUGAAACUAAAAGUUGAUUCUUUGAAAAAAUGAACAAAAUUGAAUUUCUACCUAUAUUGACAAAAAAAAAAAAAAAAAAAAGAGGCCAUAAAUUACCAGUAGAGGGGAUAUCAUUACAAAUUAAAAGAGUUAAAAUUUCAAGAAUAACUUUAUUCCAACAAAUUAGACAAGUUACAUGAAAAGGACAAAUUCCUAAUGCAAAUUAUCUAAACUGACUUAAGAGGAAAUAGAAAAUAUGAAUAGACCUGUCAUAAAGAAUAACCAACAGGCCAGCACCGCGGCUCACUAGGCUAAUCCUCCGCCUGCGGUUCUGUUCUGGUUGCUUCUCUUCCAGUCCAGCUCUCUGCUGUGGCCUGGGAGGGCAGUGGAGGAUGGCCCAAGUGCUUGGGCCCUGCAACCACAUAGGAGAUCAGGAGGAAGCACCUGGCUCCUGGUUUUGGAUCGGCGCAGCGCGCUGGCCGUAGCAGCCAUUUGGGGGAUGAACCAACGGAAGGAAGACCUUUCUCUCUCUUUCUCUCUCUCACUAACUUCCUGUCAAAACAAACAAACAAACAAACAAAAAACAAAA